AUUGAACGCUGGCGGCAGGCUUAACACAUGCAAGUCGAGCGGAGAUGAGGUGCUUGCACCUUAUCUUAGCGGUGGACGGGUGAGUAAUGCUUAGGAAUCUGCCUAUUAGUGGGGGACAACAUUCCGAAAGGAAUGCUAAUACCGCAUACGUCCUACGGGAGAAAGCAGGGGAUCUUCGGACCUUGCGCUAAUAGAUGAGCCUAAGUCGGAGUAGCUAGUUGGUGGGGUAAAGGCCUACCAAGGCGACGAUCUGUCGCGGGUCUGAGAGGUAGGACCGCCACUCUGGGACUGAUACCCGGCCCAGACUCCUAAGGGAGGCAGCAGUGGUGAAUAUUGGACAAUGGGGGGAACCCUUAUCCAGCCAUGCCGCGUGUGUGAAGAAUGCCUUAUGGUUGUAAAGCACUUUAAGCGAGGAGGAGGCUACUGAGACUAAUACUCUUGGAUAGUGGACGUUACUCGAAGAAUAAGCACCGGCUAACUCUGUGCCAGCAGCCGCAGUAAGAC
rnacentral:rRNA from 1 species